ACGGACGCGUUUGUAUAUUGUGUAACGAGAAAAAAUUGUUCAGAAAUUUCUUUCUUCAAAAUUUCGAUAUUUUAAAAUAUUUCAGAAGAAUCAUUUUUCUGCCUUUUAUUGAUCGAUUUAUGAAGUUUUUGUGUUUUCUAAAUUUCUUUUUUUAGCAAUUUCUAGUUUUGUUGAUUUAAACGUAUAUGUAUUAAACGAAGCUCUUUGAGUGUCUAAUUUUAAGUCGCGGAAAAUGAGAUCUUUCAUUGCAUUAAUUGUGUACCUUCAAACUAUUGUGAUCAGUGGUUAUCCAGACUCUCGAGUGGCAAGAGCCAUCAAAACAAUAGAUUUAACGUUCGAAGAUGGACCAUCGAAGGCGAUACUCGAAGCAGUGCAAAAUGG